rnacentral:rRNA from 1 species
UCUCGCGUCAGGAUAUGCCUAGGUGGGAUUAGCUAGUUGGUGAGGUAAGGGCUCACCAAGGCGACGAUCCCUAGCUGGUCUGAGAGGAUGAUCAGCCACACUGGAACUGAGACACGGUCCAGACUCCUACGGGAGGCAGCAGUGGGGAAUAUUGCACAAUGGGCGCAAGCCUGAUGCAGCCAUGCCGCGUGUGUGAAGAAGGCCUUCGGGUUGUAAAGCACUUUCAGUCGUGAGGAAGGUAGUGUAGUUAAUAGCUGCAUUAUUUGACGUUAGCGACAGAAGAAGCACCGGCUAACUCCGUGCCAGCAGCCGCGGUAAUACGGAGGGUGCGAGCGUUAAUCGGAAUUACUGGGCGUAAAGCGCAUGCAGGUGGUUUGUUAAGUCAGAUGUGAAAGCCCGGGGCUCAACCUCGGAAUAGCAUUUGAAACUGGCAGACUAGAGUACUGUAGAGGGGGGUAGAAUUUCAGGUGUAGCGGUGAAAUGCGUAGAGAUCUGAAGGAAUACCGGUGGCGAAGGCGGCCCCCUGGACAGAUACUGACACUCAGAUGCGAAAGCGUGGGGAGCAAACAGGAUUAGAUACCCUGGUAGUCCACGCCGUAAACGAUGUCUACUUGGAGGUUGUGGCCUUGAGCCGUGGCUUUCGGAGCUAACGCGUUAAGUAGACCGCCUGGGGAGUACGGUCGCAAGAUUAAAACUCAAAUGAAUUGACGGGGGCCCGCACAAGCGGUGGAGCAUGUGGUUUAAUUCGAUGCAACGCGAAGAACCUUACCUACUCUUGACAUCCUGAGAACUUUCCAGAGAUGGAUUGGUGCCUUCGGGAACUCU